AUGGCAACCUUCAGCUAGGUGUGCAUGGAAAUGGUCCUAAUUCAUGCCUCUGGCCUGCUGCUGCAGCAGCAGCUACCUGGGGCUUGUGCAGCCAAGGGCCCAGCCAGAACACCCAGUAAGGCUCUCUCACUUCCUCAGAAGAAGGAAGAUAUUCAUGAUUACAAUGAUAUAGACAUGGCAUGUCUUCUGGUAGAGUGGGAGAAGGAUGAUGACAUAAAAAAAGAUCUUCCAGAGCACAAGAGACCCUCAAUACCUAUCAAUUCUUAUAUAUCAACCUGGGCAAGCCUGAAAGCACGUUGAAAAUGAUGAAAGAAGGGAAGAUUCUUAUAUGUUUGUCGCUGUAUCAGGAACCCCACUGAGAAAGAGAGACGAAAUCAUGAGCCUCUGUCAGGGCAGUCUUUUCAAUGCUAAUGAAAUGUCCAGAGGUUCAUUGUGGGAUCAGACCAUACUAUCUUCAUGCUUCAUGAUGGAAAAUAUGCCUGGGAGAUCAAGAACUCUUGUCAGUGAAGACAAGUGUGCUGACGCACCUCUGGAGGGACAGGUGUUCCCUGGCAAAGGAGAAGGAAGGAAGCAAAGAGAAAAAUAAAGACAACAUUGAAAAGAAGAAGAAAAGAGAUCCAAAAUCUUGGGCUUUCAAUGAAGACAAGCUGGAAAUAGCAGAGAAGACCUGUAA
rnacentral:lncRNA from 1 species